rnacentral:rRNA from 1 species
AUACGUAGGUGGCGAGCGUUGUCCGGAAUUACUGGGUGUAAAGGGCGCGUAGGCGGGGAUGUAAGUCAGAUGUGAAAUACCGGGGCUUAACUCUGGGGGUGCAUCUGAAACUAUGUUUCUUGAGUGCUGGAGAGGAAAGCGGAAUUCCUAGUGUAGCGGUGAAAUGCGUAGAGAUUAGGAGGAACACCAGUGGCGAAGGCGGCUUUCUGGACAGUAACUGACGCUGAGGCGCGAAAGCGUGGGGAGCAAACAGGAUUAGAUACCCUGGUAGUCCACGCUGUAAACGAUGGAUACUAGGUGUAGGAGGUAUCGACCCCUUCUGUGCCGGAGUUAACACAAUAAGUAUCCCACCUGGGGAGUACGGCCGCAAGGUUGAA